rnacentral:rRNA from 1 species
AUUGAACGCUGGCGGCAGGCUUAACACAUGCAAGUCGAGCGGGGGAAGGUAGCUUGCUACUGGACCUAGCGGCGGACGGGUGAGUAGUGCUUAGGAAUCUGCCUAUUAGUGGGGGACAACAUCUCGAAAGGGAUGCUAAUACCGCAUACGUCCUACGGGAGAAAGCAGGGGAUCUUCGGACCUUGCGCUAAUAGAUGAGCCUAAGUCGGAUUAGCUAGUUGGUGGGGUAAAGGCCUACCAAGGCGACGAUCUGUAGCGGGUCUGAGAGGAUGAUCCGCCACACUGGGACUGAGACACGGCCCAGACUCCUACGGGUGGCAGAAGUGGGGAAUUUUGGACAAUGGGGGGAACCCUGAUCCAGCCAUGCCGCGUGUGUUAAGAAGGCCUUAUGGUUGUAAAGCACUUUAAGCGAGGAGGAGGCUACUUUAGUUAAUACCUAGAGAUAGUGGACGUUACUCGCAGAAUAAGCACCGGCUAACUCUGUGCCAGCAGCCGCCGUAA